CAGCAGCCGCGGGAAUACGAAGGGGGCUAGCGUUGUUCGGAUUUACUGGGCGUAAAGCGCACGUAGGCGGACUUUUAAGUCAGGGGUGAAAUCCCGGGGCUCAACCCCGGAACUGCCUUUGAUACUGGAAGUCUUGAGUAUGGUAGAGGUGAGUGGAAUUCCGAGUGUAGAGGUGAAAUUCGUAGAUAUUCGGAGGAACACCAGUGGCGAAGGCGGCUUACUGGACCAUUACUGACGCUGAGGUGCGAAAGCGUGGGGAGCAAACAGGAUUAGAUACCCGAGUAGUCCCUGUCUCUUAUAC
rnacentral:rRNA from 1 species